CCAGGGGCCUCGAGGGCUCGAAUACAUAAGCUCGAAUACACAAGAGUCAGCGGAAGCAACAAUAUCUGAGUACAGACAUAAGUUAGACAAGAUUGCCUUAAGAAGGCUAGCAAAAAAUCAACAACGAUCGAAAAGGCAAGGCCUCCUGCCUGGGAGCCUCCUAACUACUCCAAGUCGUCAGCGGUCUUCACGUAGUAGUAAGCAUCCUCCAGGCAGUAGUAGUCAUCAGUGGCAUCGUCUGGCUCCUAGGAUCCGUCAUCUGGUCGCAACAAUCGGGUAUGGGGGAAAAAGAAGUAGCAAAGCAACCGUGAGUACUCAUCCAAAGUACUCGCAAGAGUUACAUCAGAUCUAAACUAAGUAUGCAUCUGUAUCAAAGGAAUGGGUUGUAUCUGUGGACUAAACUGCAGAAUGCCAGAAGGGAAGGGGAAAGCCUAGCCUAUCGAAGACUAGCAUCUUCUGGAAACCACCAUCUUGCAGCAACAGGAGGGAGUAGAGUAGCAUAAAGUAAAGUAGCAGUAAUGUUAUCAACCUCGGCCAGAGAUCCUUUCUCGACUCCCUGUGAGAAAACAAUCCCAGAGCCAUACUAUCCAAGUGUCAACACAUUCCAAAUCUCAUCACCAUCCAGUUCUCAUCACAAGUAUCCAAUUCUAGUUGUAUCGAUCGAGAUACAACUCCAAGUGUCCGUUACCGUAGGACAGGCUAUCGAUAGAUGUUUUCUUCCCUGCAGGGGUGCACCAACUUACCCACCACGCUCGAUUAACUCUGGCCGGACACACUUUCCUGGGUCAUGUUCGGCCUCGGCCAAACAAUACGCCGCAACCCGACCUAGGCUUAAUAGAGAGGUCAACAUGUCGGACUAAACCUAUGCCCCCAGGGGUCAUGGGCCAUCGCCCCGGGAACUCCUACACGUUGCGUGGGUGGCCGGUGAGCAGACCUAGCUACCUCCUUCAACAAGGCAGGAGCUUACGCAGUCCAACCCGGCGCGUGCCGCUCAGUCGCUGACGUCUAUUAAGCUUCGGCUGAUGUAUACGACGCAGAACGCCCAUACAAUGCCCACGUGAUGGUUAGUGCUAUCAGGCCAGAGGCCCCUCAGAUCAAAUAUCCAAAUCGUAGUGGAUUAGGAGCAUGCGGUAACGAGCAGAGACUCACGAUCGAUGUGACCCCGUCGCCUCAUCUCGAGUACUUGCGGCAAGGGCUAAGAAUGCUCGGCCACGCCUCGUAAGUAUCUCGCGGGCACCUUCCAGGUCAACCCGACUCCACAUCACUCGCUAUUAAGCUUACGCGGGUACCCCUUAGGGCCGACCCGUCUUUAGUAACAUGGCUCAGUGCAAAGUCAUAGUAACCAUAGUAACUGUGUGUCUAACACCAAGGGGAAAACCCGAGGAAUCACCCCCGGUGAAUUCCACUCGAUGUUGUCAUCAAGGUGAACGUAAGAGGAUCCACCCUCGAGGUUCACACUUGAGGGGUUGCACGACAAAGCCGUAACGGAAAGAGGUUAAGGAGGAAAUCACCCUUGAUGACCUCGACCGUAUAGCUACAUUACAGAGAUCUCAUCAGGAGUGAUGUAUGAGGUUCACCCUCGGCACUCGAUAGUAACUCUGUAGUGUCGUACAACUAGGGGAUGAUGUGCGGUGUCGGGGCCUGGACGUCGAUCACGUUGAUCGAGUCAUCGAACAUAAAGCGAGGCAACUGGGACAAGGUGGGGUCACUGAUGGAUCUCUAACCAACCUAUACUAAGCAGUUUAGGAUAAGCAGGUAAGGUAUGAAAGCAGGUAACAACAACAGGCUAUGCAUCAGAGUAGGAUCAUACAGAAAGCAAUAGUAGUUCUAAUGCAAGCAUGAGAGGGAAAGAAAUUGGCGAUAUCGGAAUGCUCAAGGGGGGUUUGCUUUCCUGGUUGCUCUCGCAAGGAGGGGUCGUCGUUGACAUAGUCGUACUCAAAGGCAUCAGCGUCGGUCUUGAGGUCUACCGGAGAAGAAGAGGGGGAAGAUACAGUAAAUAUGGAGCACACAAGGCAUCACAAACAUAACAUGACAACAAGCGGUGCUAAGGGGUGUUCUAACGCAGUGCUACACGAUACCGGCAAAGGGGGGAACAUCCGGGAAUGCUUUCCCGAAGUUUAAGUUUUCAGACAGAUGAAAGAGAGGAGGCAGUUGCAUGUUCGCUAUGCUAGGGACGUGUAGCGGACGAACGGACCACGUAUUCAGAUUCGUCUCGUCUUUCUGAGCAACUUUCAUGUAUAAAACUUUUUCACCCGAGUUACAGAUUAUUUUAUAUGAUUUUUAAAGUUUUAAAUAAUUUUUUGGUUUUAUUUUAAUUUGUUUUAAACCGAGUUGACCAUGUCAACUUUGACUAGUCAAAAGGGUAGGUGUGGCCCACAUGUCAUAGGUUGUAACUAAACAAAUAAAUAAAACUAAUCUAAUUGAAAGGGACCCACAUGUCAUCUACACAUAUACUAAUCAAGUAAUUUAAUUAACCUAACUAUUCCUAGACUAAUCUAUCUGGGCCGGCCACUAGCAUGUUGGCCGCAAAUGGUAGGCACGCAUGCGCGGGAGUGCACAGCGGCCAUGGCCUACGGCGGCAGCAGCAAGCAGUAGCCAAGAGCAACAGCGGUAGGGAUUAAGAGCAGCAGCGACAGGGAAUAAUCAGCAGCAUGCAGCGGCAGCAGUACACAGCGGCAUCAGCAGUAUGCAGCGGCAGCAGUAACAAGUAAGAAGCCUGGCGUCCAGCAGCGGCAGCGAACGCGUGCGGAGGUAGCGGCUCGCGAGCAGCAUUAGUUCAGCAGUGAGAAGCGCAGGCACGGCGAGGAGCUGGCGAGGGCGCGCGUGGGAGGCGGCAGGGGUGUGGCUGGGGCGAGGCGGGCUCACGCGCAGGCACGCGCGAGCAGCAGGGGCGCGACCAGGAGAGGCUAUGCGCGCGGGGACACGGGGGUCCGGCCAUGGCGGCCACGGGCGACUGUUCGCAGCAGGUGAGAGCAGCAGCGGGGAGUGUGGGCGCGCGCGCACGCUGUAGGCCGCGGCCGGGCGCGAUAGAGGACGGACAGGGGGAGUUCGGGAGCGCGGGGCUCCUUGGCCAUGGCGGACGCUGGCUUCGGCCUCGUCCGGGACGGUGCUACAGCGGGAAAUCAAGCAUGGGGAGAUAGGGGAUUUUGGAAGAGGAGCUCACAACGGUUCCAAUGGAGUCGACGGGGAGGCCGGAGGUGGACCAGAGUCGUGGUAAACGACACCGGUCGCCGGCGAUGUACGCGACGAAGAUGCGCCCGAUGGCGAGCGGACGGGGCGGCUGCACUCGAUUUGAUGCUCGGGAUGGACGAAGUGGACCGUGGCGGUUCUUCUGGGCGCCUUCUUGUGGUGCGAGGAGCGCGGUGGCCGCGGCAUCGACGACGGCAUGACGACGGCCGAGCUCGGGCGGCUCGUGCGAGAGGGAUAAGGAAGGAGUGGGUCUGGGGGAGGGGUGUAGCGAGAGUGGGAGAGAGGAUGAGGGGAGUGC
rnacentral:lncRNA from 1 species